UGGCCACUGGGUAUGUGUGUGUGGAGAACUUCUUCAAUGGGAGUUGGUGACUCCACAGAGUAGACCCCUCCCCAUGUCUCCUCUACGACCUUUCCAUCUUCCUGCUUGUGUGAAAUGGCAACCAUCCCAGAGAAGCCUGGGGCCAGUUACAGCUGGCCUCCCUCCAGUGCUGGCCCAGAGCAGCAGUGGCCGCUUCCCUCGGCCCCUUUUCUCUUCCCUUGUUGCUGGGUUUCCCUCACUUUCCUCCUGGCAAAGAUCAGCUUCUGAAACACAGAACGGAAUGUCAGCAAAUCACAGACAGGCUCAGAACUCUGACAGAGCAACCGAGGCCGGCGCUCCUGGAAGGAAGAGUGAUACUACACAGUGUAUCUCCCCUCCCUCUGCCCCAGUAUAAGAACACGUAGCCGCCCAUUGGACGAGAACGUCUUCCAGAUUUCUUCUACUUGUUAUAGUGCCUGCCAGGCACUUUGUUUUAUCUUUCCAAUAGCAUUUCCUGAAAUAAACCAAAGCAACACUUGGUUCGAGGCCUCAGGGAUAGAGAAGGCUGUCCUCUUCACUGACAGUCCCUGAGAACAGAACAGCUGCGAGACCCUGCAGAAACAGUCCACUCUGUGAGCCAGGAACUGCUCAUCCUUCAAGCAAGCCAUUCCUGAAGAAGGUGAAGAGAACCCAGAUGAUGUGUCUCUCCUCCUCCUCUUCCUCCUCCUCCUCUCUUGCCCAGCCUGUACUGAAUGUGGAUCUCGACUAAUGCCGGAGUCAGCAGGGAUUGGAUGGAAAAGCCCCAAGCGUCUCUCAGCUCAGCUCAGCCAAGUUUUGGAAACGGCUCAAGUUUGUGCAAUAAGAAGAUUUUAAUUUUCUAUUUUUUCCCUUUUAAACUUCUUGAUUGCCUUUGCUUGGAAUGCCUGUGAGAAAGUACCCAGCUCAGGCUGAAAUUUGCUCUGCAAUACAAAUAACAACACAAACUGACAAAGACAAAAAAAAAAGCAAACUAUUUUAUUUAUUUCAAUAUUUAAAAGAAAAAAGUGCUACCAUUGCACAGUCUUUUGGUUUAAAAUGCCGUCGACUUCAAAGGUUAAAAAAAAAAAAAAAAGCAAUUCUGUGAAGACCUGAACAAGAGUGCUUACUGUAAAAUAAAGUCGUCAUGGUGACGCUAAGGAAAAAUACCCCACAUUUUUAAUAAGAAAAUAAAGAUCAACUCUGCUCUCCCAGGCUUUUGAGAAAGCCAUUCGUGUAUGUGCUUUAGGUUUUUUUGUUUGUUUGUUUGUUUUUUAAUUCCUGUGAGUUGGAUGUGGUAAGUGAGGAGUGGCCAGUUCUUCCAAAGUCCGCUGAAAAGUAUUGUUGGCGUUAAGUGUGUUAGGAUCUGAUUGAAAUCAACUAGCCCCAAACCAGCAGUGUGUCCCCUCCCAACUGCCCCUCACCUCAGAUGAAGCCCAUUGGUCUGAAUGUAAAACUACAGCCUGUCUAUCUUGUCUUAUGAGGCCUGAUUCAGGUAGGAAUUCUACCCACUGAUUGAAUGAAUUACUGCAAAGCUCAACAGCUCCAAACAGAAAUGAUUUUGUGUAGAAUAAAUGAACAAAUAAACAAACUUCUACAACCAAACAGCCAGGAGUAAGCAGUGGCUGAGGGGACAUGGCUCAGUUAACUGACAGCUGCUCAGGUUGGCCAGGAGAGUGCUACUGAGCAGGUUUCAGAGGUCUGAGAGCCUAGACUUGCUCAAGAGACUAAGGAGUUCAUUGGAAGAUAAGAAACUUGAGACUCAUUUGUAGGGAGAAAUAGGAAGGCGAGCAUUCUGUGUGUGUCCUUUAUGGCUGUUAUGGCGGAUGAAGUGGGAUUUAGCAUUGUAUGUUUAACCUAGCCCAGGAGGUCAGCCAACUGUCUGGGCUUCUGGGUUCUACCUCUUGGCUUCCACUUAGCUUAUCUAUUACAUGUGCUGAGCAGAGUCAUGGAUGGCCAUAGAUAUGACUUAAGGCUGCAAAGUCUCAUCAGCAAAAGUCCUUGAGCCACAGUAUUAUUGAAAUUUCCCAGCCUGAGAAUAAAUUUCAUCUACCAUUGAAAGGGAAGGGUAGACAGGCAGACUUUCCAUUAGACCCUUCAGGUUUCCCACUCAAGAGAAAGGGGAUGUCACCAAGAGUGUCUUCUUAUCAUUUUCUGAUAGAAAAUGUUCCAUGUCAAAAAUGUUAAUUAUAAUAAUAAUCUGUUCUCCAAUCCACACUCACAAGUUAUGACUGUGAUAAAGCUUUGCAAUGAUGUAGGGUUUGUGUGACGUUUGUGUAAGUUUCUGUUAAAUAAAAGACUGUUUCCAAUAGUCUUAUAACAUCUGUAAGAUUUGCUUAUCAACCUCGUCCUGCAGAAGUGACUUACAACAUGGUGUGGAAAGAACUGCAAGGACUUGGAUCCCUUGCCUGCCCAAGAUUUGUUUUAUUUAGAGGUGCAUUCUGGGACAGCAGUUGCCACUGGCUUGAAUGCCAGGUAGGGGCAUCAGAAGUGAGCGAUGCUUGGUGUUGAUGCUACCAUCUGCUCUCAGUUCAGAGUCGCUGUCACCCAUUCCUCCAUCACCAGCACCAUUUACCAUUCCUUCCAUGGUCAAAGCAGAAGUAUCGAAAUCCUGGUUAUGGGUAAAAGCAGAGCAUACCUGUUCAAUGUUGCUAUUGUACUGCCGCUAAGAAGUUUUGCACAAAUAUGAGAGGUUGAGCCUAUGCUUGGAAGAAAAUUUGAGGUUGCCAUUUUUUAUUGCCUGAAAGCUACUGUUAGGUUAGGCUCCCCAGGCUGGCAGCUGUGCAAGCUCUAAGGUGGACCCCUUGGGGUAGAGUUUUCCUAAAAGUUCAAAUGGAUGCUAUCUGAAGGAUCAUUUAGGUUAGCCUGUCAAGUCAGGUGUUUCCGUUUGAGCUUUGGACCUAUCCCCAGGGGGGCCAGGUGGAGCUGGAGUGUGACAUUUCAGAGCUGUCGCCAUUGCGUUUUACCUUCUCUUAGAGUGAAGGAUACAUGCAACUUCCAUUUUGAACUUGUGUCUUCUAGGUACUAAAAAGGAGGUUGAUUCCCACUCCUAAUAUUUCAUGGUCCUUUACAUCCCUAUCUCCCCUUUUGAAUUUUGGAUUUUAUUUUUGUAUGUGUGUGUACAUGCAUGUAUUCAUGUGUGCAUGUACGUGCAUGUGUGUGUGGGCCAGACGUUGGUGUUGGUGCUGUAUGGUUUUCCUUUAUCAUCUCCACCUGAGUUUUUGAGACUUGAUCUCUCGCUGUGCUGUGCCCAGAUCUUGACAACUGUGAGUGCUAGGGAUCCGAUUGUCUUUGUCCCUCUCCCCACCAGCACUAGGAUUAUAGAUGUGUUGCUGACCCUCCUGCCUGGCUUUUCAAGUGCAUGCUGGGAUCUGAACUCAGGUUCUUAUGCUUGCAUGGCGAAACACUACCCGACCGUAGAAGAGGAGCCAUCUUCCUGGCCCCUCCCCCCAAACAUUGGGAUAAAUAUUCAAAAGGUAAAGCUUACUGCUUUAGCCACUGAGUGUAUAGUUCUAUGGCAAAAGUACAUUCAUGUCAUUGAGGAACCAUCUCCACCCCAUCUCUAGACCUAUUUCAUCUCCAACUGAAACACUCCCUUUGAACAUCAACUUUUUCUCCUCCCCAGCCCCCUGGAUACAGGGGUGACAAGACUGUGUGGUGCCAUCAUUCUGUUCUGUUACCCUGUGAAUCUGACUACCUCAUAUAUCUCAAAUAAACGGACUCAUGCAAUAUUUGUCCUUUGGUCAAA